UAUGGAUGUCAAAGAUAUAAUUUGAAUGAUUGGCGUGCUGGACACCAACCAACUACACCUAAAGAAUUAUUUAACAUGAGACAUUCAUCUGCGAGAAAUGUUAUAGAAAGAUGUUUUUGUAUUUUGAAGGCAAGAUGGGGAAUUUUAAGGGACAACUCAUAUUAUCCAAUUGAUCUAAAAAAUAAGAUUAUAAUGGCAUGUUGUCUUCUUCAUAAUUAUAUAAGGAAGGAAAUGACAAUUGAUCCAAUUGAGAACCGAUUUGAAGUAGACGAGGGAACCGGAGAUGUCGGCGGUGGAGACGAUGAUCAUAUCACUUAUGUGGGUGUAUCAACCGAGUGGACUACAUUUAGAAACAACUUAGCGCAAACUAUGUUUGAUUCUUAGAAUACUACACAUUGAUCCUUCCUCCUUUUGUUAUGUUUAUCAUUUACUAUGAACGAAUUUGUGCCACAUUUGUUAUUUUUAAUAAUGAACUUUAAUUUGUUCUGUCUAGUUAUAUUUGUUAUAUAUAUAUGGUAGUGUAUUUUUUUUAUUGCAUUCAUUGUUUCGUUUAAUUUUUUUGUUUAUAAUUGUAGGUGUGAUGGAAAAAGGCAGAAACUAUCGCAACUGGACAAUAACCGAAGAUGCCAAGCUCGUGGACGCAUUGGUAAAUAUGGUGAACAUGGGAGGUUUUAAAGCUGAUAAUGGUUUUAAAUCUGGAUACUUACAAUAUCUAGAAACUGCAUUUGAAGGACAAAAAUUCUUAACUCUGGCAUAUUGGGUAAACGCCACAUUGAGUCAAGGAUCAAAACCAUGAAAAAAGAUUGACAAUUCGUUUAUGAUAUGGUGAAUGGUACGAACACUAGUGGUUUUGGCUAUGAUAGCUCCACUCAUUCUGUAAUAGCUGAACCAGCGGUUUGAGAUUCUUACUUACAAGUAUAUUAUUAAAUUUUUUUUAUAUAUUUGUUACUUCUUAAUUAUUUUAUAUUAUAAUUUAAUGUGCUAACCUUUUAUGAUACAAAAUAGGUUCAUUAAGAGGCAGGAAAAUGGAGAAAUAAGAUAUUUCCUCAUUACGAGGAUUUAUGUAUCAUCUUUGGGAAGCAUAGAGCUCAAGGGAAUAAAGCCAAGGAUUUUGCCCAAAUGGAAGAAGAUGCAAACAAUGAAGAACAAUCUGAACAAAUAGAAGGUGGUUUUGGAGAACAAACCACAGAAAAUGAAGAUUCUCCAAACAUAGGCUCAAAGAAGAGAAAAAAAGUUGAUGAUGUUAUUAAGGGAAUAACUAUUGCAGCUAACCUUCUUCGAGAAAAGCUUGAAAAAGCAGCGAAUAGCAUGAAUCAAGCAAUACAAGGAGAAACAGAAGUACAAAAAAAGCUUCGAUGGUGAUUCCUGAAAUUUCAAAGAUGCAAUCAUUGAGUGCCCUUGAUAGGUUCAAAGCAAGUAGGAAAAUAAUGUGUGAUCCGGAAACCGUGUUAAGUUUUUGGAAUUUGGAAGGAUAAGAUCGGGAGGAUUUUGUGAGGUUCAUGUUGGAAGAGUGAUAUGAUUAUGAACUAGGUAUCUAGACAUUAUUUUCAAUAUUGCUUGGUUAACUUUUUUUUUUUUCUUUUUUUAAUUUUAGAUUGGAAAUAAUGAAUGACAUUUGUUGCUUUAUAUUAUAUAUAAUCGGUUUAUUUGUUUUUAAAAAAUAUUUUUAUGAUUUUUAUGUGUUUGAUGAAAUACAAGUUAGUUAUUUUUUAAUUUAUAUUUUAUAGAAGAGUUCAAUAAAAGAUGUUGUAAUUAUAUAAAAUUUUGCUAUGUUUAUUAUAAAUAUGAAUAAGGUACAAAAAAAAUCACUACAAAGUGUAUUUUUGUCAAAUUAAUAAAAUCAUUUUCCAAUUCCUUUGGCAAUCAACAAACAAAACAGAAAACAGAUUUCAUUCCAUGUCAACCAAACACAUUUAAGUUUCUGGUACAAUCAAAUUCCAAUUCCUCCAGAUUCCAAUUCCUUUGACAGAUUUCAUUCCUUUCAAAAACAUCCUGCAAAACAAACGCAACCUUAAGGUUUUUACCUUUUGAAUUGGAUUUAAUAAUGCAAAAGGGUUUUUCCCCAUUAUUUGUUGUUUUACUCCUAGGCAACUAAGAAUCUCCACCUCGUUGGGUGUCACUGUUGUUUCUAUUAGCAAGUUGUGGGAUAUUUGUCUGUCAGUACACGGGCUUGAGUACGUCAUCCUUAGACUGUACUACUUUUGGGUUAGUUGUUUCCUUUUUUAUGAUAAAAACAACCAUUUAUUGAUCUUUUGGUUUUUCCUAAAGAUUUUUGAUGUCCGGUUUAUCCCAAAUAAAUGGAUUUUUAUCCUUUAAUGUGGAAAUUAAGGGAUCUAAUUCUAUUUGUUUUGGAUUUAGGUUUCUUGGAUAUUAUUUGAAUAUUUAAAAUAAAAGGAAUUGACGGCAAACGUUUUAGCAAUUUUCCUUCAAAAUUUGCUUUGCAUGUCGGUUUGAUCCCGGUUUUCUUAAGGUUCUUUCCAUUAAAAGUGGUUAUUAUCUUAUUGCAAAUGGCUUUUAACCCCAUUAUUUGUUGUUUUCUUCCUAGGCAACUAGGAAUCUGUAACAGCCCGGAUCUCCAGGUAUUUUAUUGUUUUAAUANNNNNNNNNNNNNNNNNNNNNNNNNNNNNNNNNNNNNNNNNNNNNNNNNNNNNNNNNNNNNNNNNNNNNNNNNNNNNNNNNNNNNNNNNNNNNNNNNNNNACUUUCAUGUAUUUACAAUUUGAUUAACAUGUUGGUUGAUUUCUUUAUUUAAUCAAAUAACAAAUAUAAUGUGAAAAACUUUAUGUUGUACACCAGAUGAGGAAAAGAAAAAAAAAAGCUAUAUGUAGCCUUCAUACACCAUACAAUGCUACAGGUUGUUUGAUUGAAUUUUGUCUUUUUUUACUUAUUGCAUCAUAUGCAUCAUAUGCCUUCUAAAUAUGUUAAAUACAAAUUUACUCCCUUGAAUUUAUAUUUACCCAUGAAGUCUUCUAUUGAAUUAUUUUUCUAGUCGUUUGAUCAUUUGUUUUACUAAUGGACACCAUCUUUUUUGUAUAAUGUGACAAUUAAUUAACGAUUAAGGUAAUAAUAUUAUGUCUUUUAAGUGAAUAAUUUUCUUUUUUAUGGGAUAUGAUCAGGAAAUGGCACGACUUAGUCUAACUAUAAGCAAACAUAAAAAAGUAUAAGUCAAAUAGUCGUUACAUUUUGGAAUGAAGUUAUGAAAAAUGUUACAUGGUUUUUUUUAUCACGGUAUGCAAGUUACUACAAAUAUAUAGGAGUGGUAAAUCACGUAUCAAAAACAUAUCGACGAAUGUGGAUCGGCAAGCAAUAUUCUAUAAAUACGCUUACAAAAGCGACACUACAUGCAUAUCACACCUUAGGAUGACCCGCAGAUGUUUAAAAAAGUUAUGUGAAACGCUUCACACAUUAGGUGGGUUAAGAACAACUAGACAUACUGAUAUUGAUGAGCAACUUGCCAUAUUUCUUCACAUUAUUGCACAUAAUGUGAAGAAUCAUGUCAUGAUAGGUCGUUUCCAGCGUUCGGGAGAAACAAUUAGCAAAAUUGUCACCAGAGUUUGCAAUGCGGUGAAAAGGUUGCAUCCACAUUUGCUUAAGAAACCCGAACCUGUUACAGAAAACUCUACAGAUCAAAGAUGGAAGUGGUUCAAGGUAUAAGUACUCCUUAUAAAAAUUUCAAUUAGUACACGAGUUGCUUGAUAUGACAUAAAACCAUUUUUUGUAUUUCCUUUAGAACUGUCUAGGAGCUUUAGAUGGAACACACAUAACGUGCUUAGUGCCACUUAAAGACAAGCCUAAAUACAGGACAAGAAAAAAUGAUAUUGCCACAAAUGUCUUAGGGGUGUGUUCACAAGAUAUGCAAUUUAUCUAUGUUUUACCGGGAUGGGAGGGCUCAGCUGCGGAUGGUAGAGUGCUUCGAGAUGCCCUACUUAGGCCACAUGGAUUGAAGGUCCCGAGACCAGGUAUGUAAAAUAAUUGGUUUUGUAGAUAACUAUUAGUUAUUAAUUAUUAGUUACACUGACUAUACUACAUAUAUAGGUUAUUAUUUGGUAGAUGUUGGUUAUACAAAUGGUGAAGGUUUCUUAGCCCCGUAUAGAUGUCAAAGAUAUCAUUUGAAUGAUUGGUGUGUUGGACACAAAACAACUACACCUAAAGAAUUAUUUAACAUGAGACAUUCAUCUGCGAGAAAUGUUAUAGAAAGAUGUUUUUGUAUUUUGAAGGCAAGAUGGGGAAUUUUAAGGGACAACUCAUAUUAUCCAAUUGAUCUAAAAAAUAAGAUUAUAAUGGCAUGUUGUCUUCUUCAUUAUUAUAUAAGGAAGGAAAUGACAAUUGAUCCAGUUGAGAACCGAUUUGAAGUAGACGAGGGAACCGGAGAUGUCGGCGGUGGAGACGAUGAUCAUAUCACUUAUGUGGGUGUAUCAACCGAGUGGACUACAUUUAGAAACAACUUAGCGCAAACUAUGUUUGAUUCUUGGAAUACUACACAUUGAUCCUUCCUCCUUUUGUUAUGUUUAUCAUUUACUAUGAACGAAUUUGUGCCACAUUUGUUAUUUUUAAUAAUGAACUUUAAUUUGUUUUGUCUAGUUAUAUUUGUUAUAUAUAUGGUUGGGUAUUGUUUUUAUUGCAUUC
rnacentral:lncRNA from 1 species